GCUACAGUGCUACUGGCCCAUAAUCAGGCAACUGCAGAGUCUUAGGGGGUUAUCUAAUGUAGUCUUGGGGUGGCUGGAUAGACUUCCCAAAGAAGGUGAUGCCGAAGCUGAGGUCGGAAAUUACGAAGAUCAGCUAUCAAACUUGGAAAUCAUGUCUUAGAGAUCAAGGAGCCAAGAGAUGAGACAAGCCUGGGUUCCUAGGUGAUAGGGUGUGGCUGUGUCCCCACCCAAAUCUCGUCUUGAAUUGUAGCUCCCAUAAUCCCCACAUGUUGUGGAGGGACCCUGUGGAAGAUUGUGCCUGCAGCCUGGCCUGUUGCCCACAGCGGUCUACCUGCCACACUGGGAAAGAUCGAGCAGAGACAGAGAAGAAAAGGAGGCUCCAUUUUUCAGGCUGCUCUCCCGCAGGCUCAUGUUUUGUGUUCAUGCCAGGCAGAGAACACAAAAUGUUCCAAUAAAUAAGUAUCAAAGGCUACACAGAAGCACUGCUGAUUUCAGCCCUGGCAGGACUCCUGUUUAAACAUACUUCCCAGAAAUCUUGGGCAGCUUGCCAUGGCAUUGUGUUAAGAAAAGGAUUGGUAGACAGAGAGAUGCACUGUUGAGAUUACCCUUCAGGAAGGACUUGCUACCGACUACAGGGGACAGGAAUCAGCAGACAUCCUCCAGCCAUCAGCUUCUUCAGGAUCUACCUCAGCGUCAAGGAACCACCUGACCUGAGGUCUCAUUCUUCCUUGGGCAGACUACAUCUUAUAACAAAGUGAGGUCUACAACUGUCCAGCUACUUAAUACAGGAAGAUAAGUUUAAUGUGAUGGAGGUGGUGGUGGUAGAAGCAGCAGUUGAAAGGCUUACCUUGACAAAGGGUAAAGCACUUCCUCUAAUUCACCAUCAACAAUAAUAAAAGUAUGUUUUCUAUACAU
ensembl:lncRNA CCDC26 CCDC26 long non-coding RNA